AGGAUGAAGACGGGGGAGGUGAAGACAGAGUGCUUAGAACUGUAAAGUGUUCAUCCACAUUAUCCCUUGGAGGCCACCAACCGACUUUCACCCACAUAGUGAAUAGGAAAAGUGUCAAAUGCAGUACUAAUUAUAUCUGUGAAAUAGGUCAUAGUUGGUAUCGGUGGGUAUUUCACAUAGCCCAGACUCUAGAGCAGUGCUGGCCUCUACAGAAGCCACAAAACACAUCUGUUGAAAUGAAAAGUUGAGUUGGCAGCCUUUGGAGUGCUCAGUGGCCACAUGGCCAGCAGCCACCAUAUUGGAUCCUAGGAAUAUGGGACAUCGACAUCACGGUGGGAGGUUCUGCUGGAUGUGUAAACAUGAGCAUUCUAGAAAGGAGUAGUAAUGUAUCCUGCUGCUGUGGUUAAAAAUAGACCUAUGGAUUCAUCGUAGUGCAGGUGAAGGUGUGUGUUUUGGUGGGACAGUCAAGAUUACCCGGCUACAUGUUAGUGUCAUCCUUCUUCCCAGCAUGCAUUGCUUCGGGAUCCUCAAGAGGUACGUUUGAAAAGCAUGAGAAGUGAAUGCGGAUGGAUGGUUUCGCUUGUAGGUUAGACGUGUGUUAUGUCCAUCAGAGUGUGUUUGAACAAAGGUUCUUGAAAUCAUUGGUUCUUGAAAUCAUUGGUAAAAAGAUUAGGUGUGCUUAUCUCAAAAGCUAUCAGGAAAGUUGGGAGACUAGACUUCUUUUUAAGUCUUUCAUAAUUACGAGAACUACAGUUCUCAACAGUGCUGUCCCUCAAGGAAAAGUUGGCUUAUGUGCAAAGUGUUGUUGUUGGCAAAGGUUGUUCUAGUUAAUAAGUGUGUAUCUGUCACAUGCAGGAUUCUAAGAACGACCCCUCAUGACCUUGUAUAAUAUCCUCCCCUUCUGAGUGUAUCGAGAACUGUGACCACAUCUGUGGGUGAUUGGCCCAAUCUUGAGAGCCAUGUCAGGCUGGCAGAAGUGAGAGACAUCAGCAGCAGAACUCUAAACAGCAUCGCUGGUCUAAGUGGAAGGGGCUCCCCUAAAUGACUGCAGGUCACCUGCCUUAAGGAGCCAGAGGCUCUGUUACCCACCAAGUGGGACCUGCAGACCUUUUGCCAUAGGACAAUUUGACCCAGACACUUACCCAGGCUUGGACAUGGAAAUCCUUGAGCAGCCAGCCUGGUAAACACCUUCACUUUAGCUUUGUAAGUGGGAACCUACCUAGACUUCUGGUGUGCAGCAGUGGAUAAUAAACGGGCAGUGCUGUAUGUGGCUAGAUUUGUGGCAUUUUUAAAAAGCAACAGAAUCUGUCAGUCCUGAGAAGUCUCCAUAUAUGAUUGCCUGCGGUAGACUAGUUUUUAAGACAAGGUCUCACCUUGCACCCCAGGCCGAUUCUCCCGGUUCUGCCUCUCAAGUGCUGAUGUGUAUCACCAUGCCCGGCUGACUGAUGGUUUUUGACAUAAGAAUAAACUCAUUCCCAGCAAGCCCUAUUCCUGGGUCUCUGCUAGGAUGUUUGGUGCCAGGACCCGUGUCUCCUCUACAAGUCAGACUUGUAUUAGUUUUUGUUCUGUAAAACUACCAGGGUGAGGCUGUAGGCAUCUUUUUCUCCUAGAUGCUCCUAAAUUAUACUGACUUAAAGGCCUGCCAGAAGUACAGGAAAGAAUGAUGAACGGUAUUUUAGACCAGACUGAUGGAGAAGAAAAAUUCCCACCUUUGUGUUGACUUGCUGGUGUGUCUAACCUGACAGUGCAGCGUGAGGCUGUCAUCUACAGAGUCCAUGCUCAAGAACCACAUGGUGAAGUUACAAAAACAAGGACACUGUUAAAAGCUCUGAGUAAGUUUACAAUCUUGUAUUGUGCCAUUCAUUGCUGUCCCGGGCCACAGGCUGAACACACCUGCAAGAGCUUCGGCUGUGACAGGUGUAAUUUUUUACAAAAAUCAUUCAGCUGAGUAGCUCACGGCUCAAACCCUGUAUGUUCCCACCAAGGUUUUGUGUUUACGUGGUUCCUAAAAUACCUGCACUUCCAAGCUAUUAACUGCUAAUGAGGUUUCUGAUCUUGGUUCACUCAGCCAUGCUUCUUAUUAACCAUGCUGCCACAGCCUUGAAGGAAAGGAACCCAGAGGUUAAACACUGUCCUCAUCCUCACGUGGUAAGGGAUCAGGCCUCAGUUCAAGACUUCUAGAAAAGGGCAUUCCGAGCUAUGUAGCAACUCUUACAGCUUGUAAAACUUCAAACUUUGAUAGUUGAGGACUUAAAUGAUAUUAACAUAUAUGCUACGCUAAUUAAUAUGCUAAAUUUAAUGCAUGUGAACAUACAAUGCUACAAAGAUGACCACAGCCUUUUACAAAGAGAAAAAGAAUAAAACAAACAAAGACACCUCAAGGAUUUGCUGCCCGUGCCCCUGUACUCUAUCACUAGCUAAAUGGACCUGUUUCUGAAAUGCUCCCUUUCCAGUUUCUGCAUUACCUAAAACUGCAAGUGCGAGAGCAGACAGGCAGCAGGUGACCUGAAUGUGUGUAGUGUGAACCCUGGUCCUUAGCAGGGCUCCUGCUGCUCUGAACACAGGCUUGUGGGGACAGCUAAAUACCUGUGAUACUAAGGAGGCCGCUUCCUGCCGCUGAGUUAGCAACUGGUCCCAGAAUAGCAAGAGUGGGGUCCUUUAGCUUGCAUAGCAUUCUGUUCUUUAUUGGAACUGCUCCAGCUGGUAAGCGUACCUGAAGGGCAUGCUCGUGAGCCUUACAAAGAGCUGCUGGGACAGUACUGGCUGAGUCCACUAAGCCACUGUUUUCCGCAGUGGAGUCAAGGGCAGCUCAGUUAGAGCACUUCCUCCACAGUCUGUCUUUGAGUUGGGGAGACGGUCUUGGAGCAGCCCAAGGAACCCCUUUGCUAGGUUGCACCAGGUUCUUUUCUCUGCACAUAUUUGGCUCACAAUGUCUUCAUGGGUUGAACAAUAACUGCAGUUAUAUUUGAGGUACUUGUUGAAUUUUUAAAGGCAGAUUAUUUAUUUUCAAGUUUGCUGCUAUAAUUGAAACCUAAUAAUGUCCUGUUGACUGUGCCUUUCAUAAUUGUCUCUGUGCUACAACUGUCCAUGUGUAUUUCAAAUAAAGAAGUUUGAAAAGCU
rnacentral:lncRNA from 1 species